rnacentral:rRNA from 1 species
UACGUAGGGUGCGAGCGUUGUCCGGAAUCAUUGGGCGUAAAGCGCGUGUAGGCGGUCCGGUAAGUCCGCUGUGAAAGUCGGGGGCUCAACCGUCGGAUGCCGGUGGAUACUGUCGGGCUAGAGUCCGGAAGAGGCGAGUGGAAUUCCCGGUGUAGCGGUGAAAUGCGCAGAUAUCGGGAAGGAACACCAAUGGCGAAGGCAGCUCGCUGGGACGGUACUGACGCUGGACGACGCGAAAGCGUCGGGAGCAACAGGG